AUUGAACGCUGGCGGCAGGCCUAACACAUGCAAGUCGAACGAGUGGCGGACGGGUGAGUAAUGUCUGGGAAACUGCCUGAUGGCUGGGGAUACCUACUGGAAACGGUAGCUAAUACCGCAUACCAUCAGAUGUGGCCAGAUGGGAUGAGCUUUUUGGUGGGGUAAAGGCUCACCAAGGCGAAGAUCCCUAGCUGGUCUGAGAGGAUGACCAGCCACACUGGAACUGAGACACGGUCCAGACUCCUACGGGAGGCAGCAGGGGGGAAUAUUGGACAAUGGGCGCAAGCCUGAUGCAGCCAUGCCGCGUGUAUGAAGAAGGUCUUCGGGUUGUAAAGUACUUUCAGUGGGGAGGCGUUACCCGCAGAAGAAGCACCGGCUAACUCCGUGCCAGCCGCCGCGGUAAUUC
rnacentral:rRNA from 1 species